UUGCAGUUAUCAUCAAACCAAUUGCAGCUGAAAAUCAAGAUGAAAUCACUCCAGAUUCUGCUGCAAUAAACAUGUUAUUCACAGUAUCGGCCCAUUACAUUAUAGACCCAUACUAAAAGCUAACCUCGUUUUAGUUUUGAUCUUAAUACUGCCAAGAGUCCCAUUCUAAACAUAACAUGUUCCAGCAUGUGAGAUCUGUGAAUUCCAUAUGUCAUCAAUCAUUAUAGGCAUCAAGCCAUCGCUGAUAGGUUAUACGUGAAAACCCAUACAUACGUUAAUUAAUCUUUGGUUGAUAUCAAAACAAAAACAAAAAGUGAAAAAUAAUAUCAAUCCAUAUGUGACAUACCUUGUUCUAAAACCAGCAGUUCCAUAUUCAACAUAACCAUCGUGCGUUCUUGGAUGCAAAGCUAGUGCUUUGUCAAUUGUUGGAACAUCCAUGAUCUGUUGAUGAAAAAAUUGUAUCCUCUUGAUAGUAGAUUCGGAGCAACGAAUUCAUUACAAGGUAUUUCAGUAUCUCUUCCGUUUUGUCAGCUAGUGUGUCCAUCUCACUAUCCGAUCUACGCUUUCUGCCAAAUAAUAUUGUGGCUUGACCAGCUGUAGUAUUGUUUGCAUUACGAAAUAGCAACUGCGGACAAAUAAAGAUUUUAUGAACCAUUAAA